rnacentral:rRNA from 1 species
ACGAACGCUGGCGGCGUGCCUAAUCCAUGCAAGUUGAGCGCUGAAGGUUGGUACUUGUACCAACUGGAUGAGCAGCGAACGGGUGAGUAACGCGUGGGGAAUCUGCCUUUGAGCGGGGGACAACAUUUGGAAACGAAUGCUAAUACCGCAUAAAAACUUUAAACACAAGUUUUAAGUUUGAAAGAUGCAAUUGCAUCACUCAAAGAUGAUCCCGCGUUGUAUUAGCUAGUUGGUGAGGUAAAGGCUCACCAAGGCGAUGAUACAUAGCCGACCUGAGAGGGUGAUCGGCCACAUUGGGACUGGGACACGGCCCAAACUCCUACGGGAGGCAGCAGUAGGGAAUCUUCGGCAAUGGACGAAAGUCUGACCGAGCAACGCCGCGUGAGUGAAGAAGGGUUUCGGAUCGUAAAACUCUGUUGGUAGAGAAGAACGUUGGUGAGAGUGGAAAGCGCAUCAAGUGACGGUAACUACCCAGAAAGGGACGGCUAACUACGUG